rnacentral:rRNA from 1 species
AGAGUUUGAUCAUGGCUCAGAACGAACGCUGGCGGCAUGCCUAACACAUGCAAGUCGAACGAAGCCUUCGGGCUUAGUGGCGCACGGGUGCGUAACGCGUGGGAAUCUGCCCUUGGGUUCGGAAUAACAGUUAGAAAUGACUGCUAAUACCGAAUGAUGUCUUCGGACCAAAGAUUUAUCGCCCAAGGAUGAGCCCGCGUCGGAUUAGCUAGUUGGUGAGGUAAAGGGCUCACCAAGGCGACGAUCCGUAGCUGGUCUGAGAGGAUGAUCAGCCACACUGGGACUGAGACACGGCCCAGACUCCUACGGGAGGCAGCAGUGGGGAAUAUUGGACAAUGGGCGAAAGCCUGAUCCAGCAAUGCCGCGUGAGUGAUGAAGGCCUUAGGGUUGUAAAGCUCUUUUACCCGGGAUGAUAAUGACAGUACCGGGAGAAUAAGCCCCGGCUAACUCCGUG